GGGGUUGUGGCUCAGUGGUAGAGCACUCCGCUUAGCGUGCGUGAGGCACUGGGUUCGAUCCUCAGCACCACA
rnacentral:tRNA from 1 species